ensembl:miRNA Mir3473f microRNA 3473f
UCUGCCAGAGCAACAUAUGCCCUAACCACUGAUCCAUCUCUUCAGCCCCUUUGUUGUUUUCAAUACAUAAAAUAAGCAAAUAGGACUGGAGAGAUGGCUCAGCGGUUAAGACCACUAACUGCUCUCCCAGAGGUCU